GACGAACGCUGGCGGCGUGCUUAACACAUGCAAGUCGAACGAAAAGAGGGAAAGAGCUUGCUCUUUCCGGAAUUGAGUGGCAAACGGGUGAGUAACAAGUAAACAACCUGCCUUCAGGAUGGGGACAACAGACGGAAACGACUGCUAAUACCGAAUAAGUUCCAAGAGCCGCAUGGCCCAUGGAAGAAAAGGUGGCCUCUACCUGUAAGCUAUCGCCUGAAGAGGGGUUUGCGUCUGAUUAGCUGGUUGGAGGGGUAACGGCCCAACAAGGCGACGAUCAGUCGCCGGUCUGAGAGGAUGAACGGCCACACUGGAACUGAGACACGGUCCAGACUCCUACGGGAGGCAGCAGUGGGGAAUCUUCCGCAAUGGGCGAAAGCCUGACGGAGCAACGCCGCGUGAGUGAUGACGGCCUUCGGGUUGUAAAACUCUGUGAUCCGGGACGAAAAGGCAGAGUGCGAAGAACAAACUGCAUUGACGGUACCGGAAAAGCAAGCCACGGCUAACUACGUG
rnacentral:rRNA from 1 species